rnacentral:rRNA from 2 species
UGACCUCAAAUCAGGUAGGACUACCCGCUGAACUUAAGCAUAUCAAUAAGCGGAGGAAAAGAAACUAACAAGGAUUCCCCUAGUAACUGCGAGUGAAGCGGGAAAAGCUCAAAUUUAAAAUCUGUCAGUCUUCAUGAUUGUCCGAGUUGUAAUCUAGAGAAGUGUUAUCCGCGCUGGACCGUGUACAAGUCUCCUGGAAUGGAGCGUCAUAGAGGGUGAGAAUCCCGUCUUUGACACGGACUGCCAGGGCUUUGUGAUGCGCUCUCAAAGAGUCGAGUUGUUUGGGAAUGCAGCUCAAAAUGGGUGGUAAAUUCCAUCUAAAGCUAAAUAUUGGCGAGAGACCGAUAGCGAACAAGUACCGUGAGGGAAAGAUGAAAAGAACUUUGGAAAGAGAGUUAAACAGUACGUGAAAUUGCUGAAAGGGAAACGCUUGAAGUCAGUCGCGUUGUCCAGGGAUCAACCUUGCUUUUGCUUGGUGUACUUUCUGGUUGACGGGUCAGCAUCAAUUUUGACUGUUGGAAAAAGGUCAAGGGAAUGUGGCAUCUUCGGAUGUGUUAUAGCCCUUGGUUGUAUACAAUGGUUGGGAUUGAGGAACUCAGCACGCCGCAAGGCCGGGUAUUAACCACGUACGUGCUUAGGAUGC